UAGGCGGAUUAAUAAGUUAGAGUGGAAAUCCCAGGGCUCAACCCCUGGAACUGCCUUUAAAACUGUUAGUCUUGAGAUCGAGAGAGGUGAGUGGAAUUCCAAGUGUAGAGGUGAAAUUCGUAGAUAUUUGGAGGAACACCAGUGGCGAAGGCGGCUCACUGGCUCGAUACUGACGCUGAGGUACGAAAGUGUGGGGAGCAAACAGGAUUAGAUACCCUGGUAGUCCACACCGUAAACGAUGAAUGCCAGACGUCAGCAAGCAUGCUUGUUGGUGUCACACCUAACGGAUUAAGCAUUCCGCCUGGGGAGUACGGUCGCAAGAUUAAAACUCAAAGGAAUUGACGGGGGCCCGCACAAGCGGUGGAGCAUGUGGUUUAAUUCGACGCAACGCGCAGAACCUUACCAACCCUUGACAUACUUGUCGCGGAUUCCAGAGAUGGAUUCCUUCAGUUCGGCUGGACAAUGUACAGGUGCUGCAUGGCUGUCGUCAGCUCGUGUCGUGAGAUGUUCGGUUAAGUCCGGCAACGAGCGCAACCCACGUCCUUAGUUACCAGCAUUUAGUUGGGUACCCUAAGGAGACUGCCGGUGAUAAGCCGGAGGAAGGUGUGGACGACGUCAAGUCAUCAUGGCCUUACGGGUUGGGCUACACACGUGCUACAAUGGCAUCUACAGUGAGUUAAUCUCCAAAAGAUGUCUCAGUUCGGAUUGGGGUCUGCAACUCGACCCCAUGAAGUUGGAAUCGCUAGUAAUCGCGGAACAGCAUGCCGCGGUGAAUACGUUCCCGGGCCUUGUACACACCGCCCGUCACACCAUGGGAAUUGGGUCUACCCGAAGGUGGUGCGCCAACUAUUUAUAGAGGCAGCCAACCACGGUAGGUUCAGUGACUGGGGUGUAGUCGUAACAAGGUACCGU
rnacentral:rRNA from 1 species